rnacentral:rRNA from 1 species
AUUGAACGCUGGCGGCAUGCCUUACACAUGCAAGUCGAACGGUAACAGGUCUUCGGAUGCUGACGAGUGGCGAACGGGUGAGUAAUACAUCGGAACGUGCCCGAUCGUGGGGGAUAACGAAGCGAAAGCUUUGCUAAUACCGCAUACGAUCUACGGAUGAAAGCAGGGGACCGCAAGGCCUUGCGCGAACGGAGCGGCCGAUGGCAGAUUAGGUAGUUGGUGGGAUAAAAGCUUACCAAGCCGACGAUCUGUAGCUGGUCUGAGAGGACGACCAGCCACACUGGGACUGAGACACGGCCCAGACUCCUACGGGAGGCAGCAGUGGGGAAUUUUGGACAAUGGGCGAAAGCCUGAUCCAGUCAUGCCGCGUGCAGGAUGAAGGCCUUCGGGUUGUAAACUGCUUUUGUACGGAACGAAAAGACUCUGGUUAAUACCUGGGGUCCAUGACGGUACCGUAAGAAUAAGCACCGGCUAACUACGUA